rnacentral:rRNA from 1 species
GACGAACGCUGGCGGCGUGCCUAAUACAUGCAAGUCGAGCGAAUCAACAGGAGCUUGCUCCUGUUGGUUAGCGGCGGACGGGUGAGUAACACGUGGGCAACCUGCCUGUAAGACUGGGAUAACACCGGGAAACCGGUGCUAAUACCGGAUAAUCCUUUUCCUCUCAUGAGGAAAAGCUGAAAGUCGGUUUCGGCUGACACUUACAGAUGGGCCCGCGGCGCAUUAGCUAGUUGGUGAGGUAACGGCUCACCAAGGCGACGAUGCGUAGCCGACCUGGGAGGGUGAGCGGCCACACUGGGACUGAGACACGGCCCAGACUCCUACGGGAGGCAGCAGUAGGGAAUCUUCCACAAUGGACGAAAGUCUGAUGGAGCAACGCCGCGUGAGCGAUGAAGGCCUUCGGGUCGUAAAGCUCUGUUGUUAGGGAAGGACAAGUACCGGAGUAACUGCCGGUACCUUGACGGUACCUAACCAGAAAGCCACGGCUAACUACGUGCCAGCAGCCGCCGUAAGAC